rnacentral:rRNA from 1 species
GGAAUAUUGGUCAAUGGACGAAAGUCUGAACCAGCCAUGCCGCGUGAAGGAUGAAGGUCCUCUGGAUUGUAAACUUCUUUUAUAUGGGACGAAAAAAGGGUUUUCUAACUCAACUGACGGUACCAUAUGAAUAAGCACCGGCUAACUCCGUGCCAGCAGCCGCGGUAAUACGGAGGGUGCAAGCGUUAUCCGGAUUCACUGGGUUUAAAGGGUGCGUAGGUGGGUUGGUAAGUCAGUGGUGAAAUCCCCGAGCUUAACUCGGGAACUGCCAUUGAUACUAUCAGUCUUGAAUACCGUGGAGGUCAGCAGAAUAUGUCAUGUAGCGGUGAAAUGCUUAGAUAUGACAUAGAAUACCAAUUGCGAAGGCAGCUGGCUACCCGAAUAUUGACACUGAGGCACGAAAGCGUGGGGAUCAAACAGGAUUAGAUACCCUGGUAGUCCACGCCCUAAACUAUGGAUACUCGACAUACGCGAUACACUGUGUGUGUCUGAGCGAAAGCAUUAAGUGUCCCACCUGGGAAGUACGACCGCAAGGUUGAAACUCAAAGGAAUUGACGG